UUUUAGGAGUUCCUUGUCUCCAGAGACUGUUGAAGCUCUCAUUUGCACUCAAAAUUGGUUAAGGACCAAACCAAUUAACAUUCGGGAUUUGGAAGAAUACAUACAGUCGAUAGACCUUGAAGACGAUCAUCUAGCUUCGUCUUCAACCGAGGCUGAUGUGAGUCUCCAUUCCCAUUCAUGCUGAAAAGUUUAUCCUUGGUUAAUCUUCAAUGGAGUAUGGACUUUGUGGGCACAAGGCAUUUCUUUGAAGUUGAUUCCUAUCAUUCCAUGCAUGGACGUGUCAAUGAUGGGUCAAGAGCGCUCAACUUCUACAGAAUUGUUGGUUGGAUGCACCGAAUU